UUCUAGCGGACUACGGGUAUAUAUAAGAACUUCGGCUUUGUUCCAGGUGUAGAACUACGGAGGCGACAAAUGGCGGCGUUAGGUUUGCCACGGGAAAGCAAGAGGAUAUUUACCUAAGGCAAAGGUAAUCGACGUAGUGAAUAUGAAUGGAGGAGGCUAAAGGAAGCCAUUGUUGAGAUUUGCAAAGACCAGGAAAGAGCUUGGUACCUUCAACAGUUUGAGAAAAUUGACGGAUCGACCUACACGGAACCAACCACAACGGAAUUAGCAGAAUUUGGCAGCCGCAUGGUGGCCGGAAUGCUGAGCCCGCUGUACACCUUCAUCGGCAAUGUCUGGAAGGCUAACCCGUGAUGAUCUCCUCGUGGCCGUAAAGGGCAUUUCUUUGCGUACUUCAUACUACCCAAUAUUCUCGUGUAAAGCUGUGUGGAAGAUCGAAAAUCUUCAAGUGAUGGGUUGAAGAGUACCAUAUAGUUGUUUGUUGUGUGUUUCCGGCUGAGUUUGUAAAAAAAGACGCGCAGCAUCUUCGUGUCAAGUGUCGUGCAAGUUCCUGAACGUUGUAGUAAUCUUGAUCCAUGGCUAGUCACCAUCCUGAAUUUCUCCGGACAGCAGGUUACUAGUGCCUCGUCUUAAAAAAAUGCUGGAAAUGAAACGUGUCUUGAUGGAAACCUGAUAUAACCUCCUUGAUGGAAAUGACAUGAUAGAUGGUAUGGCAGUGUAUGAGUAUUGGAGGUCUCUAAAGAGUGUGGCUGUAGAUAAUUAUCCUAAAAAGAAGUCAAACCAAAUAGCUAAGAUUUUUGUUUGACUGAAUUUAUCACUAGAAUUAGUCGCUUACAACUGUGUACUGUUUACCAUUGUUUGUCUGUCAUUUUUUGUUACUUCACAUUAGCCAUCGUUAUGGGGCUCCUUACUGACAAGUAUUCUGAAAAACAUAGUCAAAGUGCUGAUGGCGAAUCUUUCUCUUACCAUGGGCCAACCCAAGUUUGAAUGCAUUUGCUGAACAGGUGUUUCUAGUGGGCAUUUAAGCAACACUCUACAUGCUCUGUUCUGUACUACCUGGAGCUUUCGAGUAUUUGACUCGGACAUGUUUGCUAGAACUGGUAGACAGUACUUUGUAGUUUGAGACAGUACUAGACAGUUUGAUAGAACAACUUAGAUAUACCAUUCAGGUUGAUUAUAAGUUUUAGAAUUCGAAAGCAAAGGGAAGCAUUUUUUCUACCAAACGUCUAGGAGCUAAACGAUGCUUGACCAACGGAGGCAUCUAGCGGAAUACAUACGAAUUGUUCGGCAGCUCA